CGGCAGCUGCCACUCAAAGGCUCUGCAUCCGGGUGGCUUGGCAGGGGUGUCCUCUGGAGAUCCAGCGGUCGGCGGGGUCGGCUGGGAGAGGCUGCCGCCACCAUCAGGUCACCGAGAUAAGGUCUUGCUCUGUUGUCCAGGUUGCAGUGCAGUAGUGCAAUUACAGCUCACUGUAGUCUCAAUCCCCUGGGCUCAAGUGAUCGUCCCUCCUCAGUCUACCAAGUAGCUGGGACUACAGGCAUGCACCACCACACCCAACUAAUUUUUGGACUUGUUGUAGAGUGAAAGUGCUGCAGCAAUCUCGGCCUUUGGCACUCUCCUCAGGAAUUUAUGAAGCUUGUGAUGUGAAUGAUGGAGCCAGCUAAGCCUCCUCUGCACUGACAGCUCAGCACAAUGACCUGUUGGGUGAUGAAAGAAAUGCCAGGUGCUUCAGUUUUCUGUUCCACCGAGUGGAUGUGUCCCCC
rnacentral:lncRNA from 1 species